rnacentral:lncRNA from 1 species
CAUGAGAUUGUGACAACACAAGGACAAAAAUAUCCGAGGACAGCUAAGCACUUCUUGUGAGUUGUGAAUGAGAAAGCAUUAAUUUCCACUUCAACGGCGCUG